rnacentral:lncRNA from 1 species
AGGGGCCAGGCCGCCGAGGGGCGGAGGCGACGGGUUGACCCCGGCCCUGAUGCUGUGUGACCCCGAGUCGGCCAAUACCCUCUCUGGGCCUCAGCUGCCUCCUCUGUACGAUGAGAAGGGGCGCCCGAUGGCCUCCGCAACCCCUUCCCGGCCCGCCUCGAUGACCCCUCGAUGGAGGGAGCCGGGCCCGGGGCGGGUCUGGAGCUGGAGCUGCAGCUGGUGCAGAGUCAGUGUCUCCAGAGGGACCCUCCUCCGUCUGGGGGACAAGGUCUGGCUGGUCGGGACUCCGGCCUCGCCACAGCGGGGAGAGCCGAGGGGUCGGAGGGCGUGAGCGGCGGCUGGACGCAGGGCCCUCCCCACAAAUUACUAACAUUCCAAGAUGUGGCUGUCAAUUUCACCCGGGAGGAAUGGGGUUUGUUGGAACCAGCUCAGAAGGACUUGUUCAGGGAUGUGAUGCUGGAGAACUAUGAGAAUUUUGUCUCCCUGGGUAAGGACGGCUUCUUUCUCAUGAAUCAUCUGGCCAUUGGGAUUCUUGGCAUUCUUUCUUCCUAUAGGUUAUGGAGUGUCUGAAGAAGUGCUUCAGUAAGGUUGAACUUUUUGUAUGAGGCUAUUCUUAGGAUUAUAUAUAAUAUGGAAACAUUCCUAAAUCUUUUGGUGUAAAGAAGCACAGUGUUUCUGC